GAACCUGGUGAACUGAAAUAUCUAAGUAACCAGAGGAAAAGAAAUCAACCGAGAUUCCGUAAGUAGCGACGAGCGAACGCGGACUAGCCCUUAAGCUGAUUUGGUUCUAGGAAAACACUCUGGAAAGAGUGGCCAUAGAAGGUGAUAGCCCUGUAUCUGAAAGGGCCAUUUCAGUGAAGACGAGUAGGGCGGGGCACGUGAAACCCUGUCUGAACAUGGGGGGACCAUCCUCCAAGGCUAAAUACUACUGACCGACCGAUAGUGAACCAGUACCGUGAGGGAAAGGCGAAAAGAACCCCGGAGAGGGGAGUGAAAUAGAACCUGAAACCGUGUGCGUACAAGCAGUAGGAGCUCCGCAAGGAGUGACUGCGUACCUUUUGUAUAAUGGGUCAGCGACUUACUGUUCGUGGCAAGCUUAACCGUAUAGGGGAGGCGAAGGGAAACCGAGUCUGAUAAGGGCGCAUAGUCGCGGGCAGUAGACCCGAAACCGGGUGAUCUAGUCAUGCCCAGGGUGAAGGUGCGGUAACACGCACUGGAGGCCCGAACCCACUCCCGUUGCAAAGGUAGGGGAUGAGGUGUGAUUAGGAGUGAAAAGCUAAUCGAACCCGGAGAUAGCUGGUUCUCCUCGAAAGCUAUUUAGGUAGCGCCUCAUAUGUAUCCUCUCGGGGGUAGAGCACUGUUAUGGCUAGGGGGUCAUCGCGACUUACCAAACCAAUUGCAAACUCCGAAUACCGAGACGGACUGUA
rnacentral:rRNA from 1 species